AACGAACGCUGGCGGCGUGCCUGAGACAUGCAAGUCGUGGGAGAAAGUCGGAGCAAUCCGGCUAGUAAACCGGCGCACGGGUGAGUAACACGUGGACAACCUGCCUUGGAGUUCGGGAUAACCCGUCGAAAGACGGACUAAUACCGGAUAUGACCACGGGGAGUUCGCUCUCUGAGGUAAAAGAUGGCCUCUGCUCCUGCAAGCUAUCUCUUCGAGAGGGGUCCGCGUCCUACAGCUAGUUGGUGAGGUAACGGCUCACC
rnacentral:rRNA from 1 species